rnacentral:tRNA from 1 species
UUCAGGAUGGCCAGUGGUUAUGGCAUCAGACUUCAAAUCUGAUUCACGCAAAGUGAGCGCAGGUUCGAAUCCUGCUCCUGAAA